AUCGAAAUCUGCUGUGGGGACUGCUGCUCUUAAAUUCUUUUGACGGCCAUAGGAGGUUUUGUUCUUUGUAACCUAACCUCGCAAGGAAAACUUUCUCUACGCAGAACACUUCUGACACCUUGUGGGUCAGUCUGAAAGAAUUGGUGCAGUCUAUGGGGACAGAGGGCAAGGAGCCUAUCUGCUACAGGGAGCUUGAAAACGAAAUCAGCAAAGAAGAAAUAGGAAAAUAAGAAUAAACUCCCCCGGAUUCCCGGAGAGCCUAGCAGACGAGCCGGAGCCCAGAGCAGGAAGAACGUUCAGAAUCCAAUCACGUAGGCGGGACGGGACUAGAGGCUGGUAAGGUAUUAAGAGUGGACGGGACUGUCAGUGUCAUGGAGACCAUCUCCCCUCCUGAGACAAGCCUGCAGAAUCGGGAAGGGGCGGAUCUGCUC